rnacentral:rRNA from 1 species
AACGCGAAGAACCUUACCUACUCUUGACAUCCUACGAAUCCGACUGAGAGGUUGGAGUGCCGAAAGGAGCGUAGAGACAGGUGCUGCAUGGCUGUCGUCAGCUCGUGUUGUGAGAUGUUGGGUUAAGUCCCGCAACGAGCGCAACCCCCAUCUUCAGUUGCCAUCGGGUCAUGCCGGGCACUCUGAAGAAACUGCCGGUGACAAGCCGGAGGAAGGCGGGGAUGACGUCAAGUCCUCAUGGCCCUUAUGGGCUGGGCUACACACGUGCUACAAUGGCGGUGACAGAGGGCGGCAAGGGUGCGAGCCUGAGCCAAUCUCAAAAAGCCGUCUCAGUUCGGAUUGCUCUCUGCAACUCGAGAGCAUGAAGUCGGAAUCGCUAGUAAUCGCGGAUCAGCAUGCCGCGGUGAAUACGUUCCCGGGCCUUGUACACACCGGUACUA